CUCCUACGGGAGGCAGCAGUAAGGAAUAUUGGACAAUGGACGAAAGUCUGAUCCAGCCAUGCCGCGUGCAGGAUGACAGCCCUACGGGUUGUAAACUGCUUUUAUACAGGAAGAAACACUCCGACGUGUCGGAGCUUGACGGUACUGUAAGAAUAAGGAUCGGCUAACUCCGUGCCAGCAGCCGCGGUAAUACGGAGGAUCCAAGCGUUAUCCGGAAUCAUUGGGUUUAAAGGGUCCGCAGGCUGUUUUUUAAGUCAGAGGUGAAAUCCUACAGCUCAACUGUAGAACUGCCUUUGAUACUGGAAAACUUGAGUUAUUGUGAAGUGGUUAGAAUGUGUGGUGUAGCGGUGAAAUGCAUAGAUAUCACACAGAAUACCGAUUGCGAAGGCAGAUCACUAACAAUAUACUGACGCUCAUGGACGAAAGCGUGGGGAGCGAACAGGAUUAGAUACCCUGGUAGUCCACGCCGUAAACGAUGGAUACUAGCUGUUCGUCUAACAUUGGUUAGAUGAGUGGCUAAGCGAAAGUGAUAAGUAUCCCACCUGGGGAGUACGGUCGCAAGACUGAAACUCAAAGGAAUUGACGGGGGCCCGCACAAGCGGUGGAGCAUGUGGUUUAAUUCGAUGAUACGCGAGGAACCUUACCAGGGCUUAAAUGUAGUGGGACAGGUCUAGAGAUAGACCCUUCUUCGGACUCAUUACAAGGUGCUGCAUGGUUGUCGUCAGCUCGUGCCGUGAGGUGUCAGGUUAAGUCCUAUAACGAGCGCAACCCCUAUCGUUAGUUGCCAGCGAGUAAUGUCGGGAACUCUAACGAAACUGCCAGUGCAAACUGUGAGGAAGGUGGGGAUGACGUCAAAUCAUCACGGCCCUUACGUCCUGGGCUACACACGUGCUACAAUGGCCGGUACAGAGAGCAGCCACUUCGCAAGAAGGAGCGAAUCUAUUAAAACCCGGUCUCAGUUCGGAUCGGAGUCUG
rnacentral:rRNA from 1 species